UAGUCAUAUGCUUGUCUCAAAGAUUAAGCCAUGCUUGUCUAAGCACAAGCCGAUUAAUGGUGAAGCCGCGAAUGGCUCAUUACGACAGCCAUAGUUUCUUAGAUCUUACUUUUCUACUUGGAUAACUGUGGUAAUUCUAGAGCUAAUACACGCAAACAAGCUCAGACCUUACGGAAUGAGCGCAUUUAUUAGAACAAAAACCAAUCGGACUUUCGGGUCCGUCAUUUGGUGAAUCUGAAUAACUUUGCUGAUCGCACGGUCAUCGUACCGGCGACAUAUCUUUCAAAUGUCUGCCUUAUCAACUUUCGAUGGUAGUUUAUGCGCCUACCAUGGUUGUAACGGGUAACGGAGAAUAAGGGUUCGACUCCGGAGAGGGAGCCUGAGAAACGGCUACCACAUCCAAGGAAGGCAGCAGGCACGCAAAUUACCCACUCCCGGCACGGGGAGGUAGUGACGAAAAAUAACGAGACGGCUCGCUAUGCGGUCCGUCAUCGGAAUGGGUACAAUUUAAAUCCUUUAACGAGGAUCUAUU
rnacentral:rRNA from 1 species